UACGGGGGGAGCAAGCGUUGUUCGGAUUUACUGGGCGUAAAGGGCGCGUAGGCGGUCAGCACAAGUCAGUUGUGAAAUCUCCGGGCUUAACUCGGAAAGGUCAACUGAUACUGUGCGACUAGAGUGCAGAAGGGGCAACUGGAAUUCUCGGUGUAGCGGUGAAAUGCGUAGAUAUCGAGAGGAACACCUGCGGCGAAGGCGGGUAGCUGGGCCAACACUGACGCUGAGACGCGAAAGCUAGGGGAGCAAACGGG
rnacentral:rRNA from 1 species